rnacentral:lncRNA from 1 species
UAAUAACUUGGUCUGGCUUCCAAUUCAAUUUGAAUUUGAGUUGGGAUUCAUCUUAUUGAACUCAAAUUGAGCUUAGAUUUGCAUUAAAGACUUGAAUCCCUAAAGUCAAGUAAUAAUUCGAAGUGAUUCUAAAGUUUAUUUAUAGUUUUAUCCAAGUUUGAACUAAAAUCAAUUAUAAGUCCAAGAUGAUCUACUAUGUGUAAAUUGUUUUCAAAAUUUAUUUAGGUUUGAGCUAAUUUCAAUUUAAAAUUAACUUCCUCAAGUCAAUUAUAACUCCAAAUAUUCAUUGGGUUCAAUUAAUUCACUAAGUCAAAUUACAAAAGUUUGUUCAAAUUAAACCUAGGGUUUCAAGUUUAUAACCGAUCUAGUUUGAAUUUAAUUCAAAUAUUAUUUGAAUUUUCCAAAAGUCAAAUAAUAAUCCAAAAAUAUUUACUAAAGUUUUUUUGAUUUUCUAAAACAUGUUGCAAAGGGUUUAUUCUAUUUAGGUCUUCUAUUUCUAAGUUAACCUAAAUACGUUUAAAUUUCAUUUGAAUUCUAACUCCUACUAAAUUCUAUCUAAAAUCAAUUUUUAAAUUAUCAUAUUUGAACUAAACUGAUCUGGGUUGAAACUAUAUUUCACUAGGUUCAUUCUGGAAAAAUAAUCAAUUUAUUUGGAUUUCUAAAUUGCAAGUUAUGACCCAAUUAAUUUCUAAAUCAUUAUGUUUGAAUUUGAAUUUUAAACUAUUCAAAUUCAAAUUUUGAAUAGUUAGGUGAAAGUGCAUUUCUGAAGGGUCAUUUUGCAGAAAGUUUCACUUAAUUUGGAUCUACAGGUAAAACGUUGUGAAUGUUUGAAGUUCCACAGGUUUUCUAGAAAAUUGCCAAUUAGUUCAAUUAAAAAGAAAAUGUUCUGGAUAAUGUUUUGGAUAAGGCUAUAUACAUGGCGGCUUCUGGUUGGCUGAUACCAUUUUGGGUUUAAGUGUGUGUGUGUGUGUGUGUGUGUGUGUGUGUGUGUGUGUGUGUGUGUGUGUGUGUGCACCACUGAUCUAAAAUGGACGGUCAAGAUUUGAUCAUACGGCUAGGGUUUCGGAGCUCACUAGAGUUUAUUCGCUAGAAAACAUGAGGACGGCAGCAGACGGCAGCGCUGCGCUUGGGAGUUGCCGAACUUGGCGUUCCAGAGGUCUCCAGGGACGGCGAGGGACUCGGGUUGACGCGGAAGACAAUGGUGGGUGAUAACCCACAAGUAUAGGGGAUCGUUUGUAGCCUUUUCUGACAAGUAAGAGUGUUGAACCCAACGAGGAGCUAAAGGUAGGAUUUAUAUUCUCUUCAAGUUCUAUCAACCACCGAUACAACUCUACGCACAUCAACGUUUGCUUUACCUAGAAACAAAUAAUUAACUACUUUGUAUGUGUAAUGGGAUAAGUUUGCAAGAUAAUAAAGAAUGUGAAAAUAAAAGUUAGUUGUUGUUUUAAUAAAAGAACAAUUAAGGUAGUAUAGCGAGUGUGGAAAAGUGAUGGUAGGAUUUGCUAAGUUGUCCUAGGCAAUUGAUAAUAAGAUCAGUAAUCAUUAUUAUAAUUUUAUAUGAGGGAGAGACAUAAGCUAACACACUUUCGGUACUUGGAUCACAUGACCUUAUGAUUGAAAAUCUAGCAAUCAUCCACAACUACUAGAGAUCAUUAAAGUAAAACUAUAGCCUUAAGUGUAAAGUCCUCUUUAAUCCCAUACACAACAAGCCACUUACCCGAGUUUGUGUUUUUGUCACCCACGUACUCACUCAGUAAGUAGAUCAUCAACAUAUUGCAACAGGCUACCGCGGGAAUCCCCCAUGUGUGUGUGGCACAGAAGGCUCCAUUGGACAGCACCAAAAUAAAACAUGCAACUCAAACCAGUCAAGAUCAUCAAAAAGAAUCUACUCAGACAUCGUAGGAUGGCUACACAUCAUUGGAUAAUAAUAUAUAGCAUAAAGCACCAUGUUCAAGUAGGGGGUACAACGGGUUGCAGGAGAGUGUACCACUGAGUAUAGACCGGGGAAGGUGAUGAUGAUGACAGCAGCAAAGUUGUUGAUGUAGAUCACCGUCACGAUGGUUCUCCGGCACGCCCAGGAGAGAGGGGGAGAGGUCCCCCUACUACUACUACUACUACUACUUCUUCUUCUUCUUCUUCUUCUUCUUCUUCUUCUUCUUCUUCUUCUUCUUGCUUGGCCUUCUCCCUAGAUGGGAGAAGUAUUCCCCUUCUGGUCCUUGGCCGCCAUGGCCCCCGAGGAGAGGGAACCCCUCUAGAUUGGAUAUUUCUCUGUUUUCUUCUCUAUUUCACGUCCUCAUUUAUGGCCUCGAACCGUUUCUUAAAUAUCCGGAGAUCCAUAACUGCGAUUGGGCUAAAAUUUAAACACGAUUUUCCCCGAUAUUAGCUUCCUUGCGGCCGAAGAAGAGCUCCAACCGACUUAUUAUGCGGCGUGCCCUGGGGGCUAGUGGUGCCCCUACCAUGUGGAGCCUAUGGGUCUCCAUUUGCAUUGAUUCUUGCGCCAAAAAUUCAGAUAUAUUACAAAAAAAAUCUGCAUAAAAUUUUAUCGCGUUUACACUUCGUUUGAUAUGAAUUUUCUGUGAAAUACAAAAACAUGCAAAAAAUAGGAAACUGGCACUGGACACUAGAUCAAUAUGUUAGUCCCAAAAAUAUUAUAAAUUAUUGCCAAAAGUAUGUGGAAGUGGUAAAAUAAUGGUAUGAAACAAUCAAACAUUGUAGAUACGUAGGAGACGUAUCGGUGGGGCCGUUGGUGGGAUCGGACAUGGCUGGGGACGACACAGACGAUGACGAGGGGCUCGCGGAGGAAUGCACGGGGCGGCAAAGCUCUUGGGUGGUGAUGUGGGGCUCGAUUUGGUGCGCUUUGCUACCUCUUGAGCAUGCGUUGGUUUUCCCUUGAAGAGGAAAGGGUGAUGCAGCAAAGGAGCGUAAGUAUUUCCCUCAGUUUUUGAGAACCAGGGUAUCAAUCCAGUAGGAGACCAUGCGCGAGUCACCUCGUACCUACACAAACAAAUAAGAACCUCGCAACCAACGUGAUAAAGGGGUUCUCAAUCCCUUCACGGCCACUUGCAAGAGUGAGAUCUGAUAAAGUUAAUAAUAAUAAGAUAAAUAUUUUUGGUAUUUUUAUGAUAUAGAUUGAAAGUAAAGAUUGCAAAAUAAAAUAGAUUGGAAACUUGUAUGAUGGAAGAUAGACCCGGGGACCAUAGGUUUCACUAGUGGCUUCUCUCAAUAUAGCAUAAGUAUUACGGUGGGUGAACAAAUUACUGUCAAGCAAUUGAUAGAAUUGAGCAUAGUUGUGAGAAUAUCUAGGUAUGAUCAUGCAUAUAGGCAUCACGUCCGUGACAAGCAGACCGACUCCUGCCUGCAUCUACUACUAUUACUCCACACAUCGACCGCUAUCCAGCAUGCAUCUAGAGUAUUGAGUUCAUAAGAACAGAGUAACGCUUUAAGCAAGAUGACAUGAUGUAGAGGGAUAAACUCAUGCAAUAUGGUAUAAACCCCAUCUUUUUAUCCUCGAUGGCAACAAUACAAUACAUGUCGUUUCCCCUACUGUCACUGGGAUCGAGCACCGCAAGAUUGAACCCAAAGCUAAGCACUUCUCCCAUUGCAAGAAAGAUCAAUCUAGUAGGCCAAAUCCAACUGAUAAUUCGAAGAUACUUGCAAAGAUAACCAAUCAUACAUAAAAGAAUUCAGAGAGGAUUCAAAUAUUGUUCAUAGAUAAUCUUGAUCGUAAACCCACAAUUCAUCGGAUCUCGACAAACACACCGCAAAAGAAGAUUACAUCGAAUAGAUCUCCAAGAGAAUCAGGAGAACUUUGUAUUGAGAUCAAAAGAGAGACAAUAAGUCAUCUAGCUAAUAACUAUGGACCCGAAGGUCUGGGGUAAACUACUCACACAUCAUCGGAGAGGCUAUGGUGUUGAUGUAGAAGCCCUCCGUGAUCAAUGCCCCCUCCGGCGGAGCGCCAGAAAAGGCCCCAAGAUGGGAUCUCUGAUGACCCACAAGUAUAGGGGAUCUAUCGUAGUCCUUUCGAUAAGUAAGAGUGUCGAACCCAACGAGGAGCAGAAGGAAAUGAUAAGCGGUUUUCAGCAAGGUAUUCUCUUCAAGUACUGAAAUAAGUGGUAACAGAUAGUUUUGUGAUAAGAUAGAUUGUAACGAGCAACAAGUAACAAAAGUAAAUAAGGUGCAGCAAGGUGGCCCAAUCCUUUUGUAGCAAAGGACAAGCCGGAACAAACUCUUAUAAUAGGAAAAGCGCUCCCGAGGACACAUGGGAAUAUCGUCAAGCUAGUUUUCAUCACGUUCAUAUGAUUCGCGUUCGAUACUUUGAUAAUUUGAUAUGUGGGUGGACCGGUGCUUGGGUGCUGUUCUUACUUGAACAAGCAUCCCACUUAUGAUUAACCUCUAUUGCAAGCAUCCGCAACUACAACAAAAGUAUUAAGGUAAACCUAACCAUAGCAUGAAACAUGUGGAUCCAAAUCAGCCCCUUACGAAGCAACGCAUAAACUAGGGUUUAAGCUUCUGUCACUCUAGCAACCCAUCAUCUACUUAUUACUUCCCAAUGCCUUCCUCUAGGCCCAAAUAAUGCUGAAGUGUUAUGUAGUCGACGUUCACAUAACACCACUAGAGGCUAGACAACAUACAUCUUAUCAAAAUAUCAAACGAAUACCAAAUUCACAUGACUACUAAUAGCAAGACUUCUCCCUUGUCCUCGGGAACAAACGUAAUUACUCACAAGGCAUAUUCAUGUUCAUAAUCAGAGGGGUAAUAAUAUGCAUAUAGGAUCUGAACAUAUGAUCUUCCACCAAAUAAACCAACUAGCAUCCACUACAAGGAGUAAUCAACACUACUAGCAACCUACUAGCACCAAUCCCGGACUUUGAGACAAGAAUUGGAUACAAGAGAUGAACUAGGGUUUGGAGAUGAGAUGGUGCUGGUGAAUAUGUUGAUGGAGAUUGCCCUCUCCCGAUGAGAGGAGCGUUGGUGAUGACGAUGGUGAUGAUUUCCUCCUCCCGAAGGGAAGUUUCCCUGGCAGAACAGCUCUGCCGGAGCUCUAGAUUGGAUCCGCCAAGGUUCCGCCUCGUGGCGGCGGAGUCUCGUCCCGAAAAGUCCCUGCCUAUUUUUUUCUUAUCGAAAGACUUCAUAUAGGAGAAGAUGGAUGUCGCAGAGCCACCAGGGGGCCCAUGAGGUAGGGGGCGCGCCCUAGGGGGGGCGCCCCCCACCCUCGUGAGCAGGGUGUGGGCCCCCUGGCCUUCAUCUUUGGCAAGGAUUUUUCUUUAUUUAUGUUAAGAUGUUCUGUGGAGUUUCAGGACUUUUGAAGUUGCGCAGAAUAAGUCUCUAAUAUUUGCUCCUUUCCAGCCCAGAAUUCCAGCUACCGGCAUUCUUCCUCCUUAUGUAAACCUUGUAAAAUAAGAGAGAAUAGCCAUAAGUAUUGUGACAUAAAGUGAAAUAACAGUCCAUAAUGCAAUAAAUAUCGAUAUAAAAGCAUGCUGCAAAAUGAACGUAUCAAUCUCAUGGGUACAAAAGGUUGCGGCAGUGGAAUUAGGUUUUCGUGGUGCCCUCUGAUGUUUUCAGGGUACAUAGGAGACGUAUCAAGCAUCCCCAAGCUUAAUUCCUGCUCGUCCUCGAGUAGGUAAAUGAUAAAAAUAGAAUAUUUGAUGUGGAAUGCUUCCUAAGAUAUUUCUCAAUGUAAUUUUGUUUAUUGUGGCACGAAUGUUCAGAUCCAAAAGAUUCAAGAUAAAAGUUUAAUAUUGACCUAAAAAUAAUAAUACUUCAAGCAUACUAACUAAGCAAUCAUGUCUUCUCAAAAUAGCAUGGCCAAAGAAAGUUAUCCCUACAAAAUCAUAGUCUGGCUAUGCUCUAUCUUCAUCACACAAAAUAUUAAAUCAUGCACAAUAUCAAUGACAAGCCAAGCAAUUGUUUCAUACUUUUGAUGUUCUCAAACUUUUUCAACUUUCACGCAAUACAUGAGCGUGAGCCAUGGACAUAGCACUAUAGGUGGAAUAGAAUGGUGGUUGUGGAGAAGACAAAAAGGAGAAGAUAAUCUCACAUCAACUAGGCGUAUUAACAGGCUAUGGAGAUGCCCAUCAAUAGAUAUCAAUAUGAGUGAGUAGGGAUUGCCAUGCAACGGAUACACUAGAGCUAUAAGUGUAUGAAAGCUCAACAAAAGAAACUAAGUGGGUGUGCAUCCAACUUGCUUGCUCACUAAGACCUAGGGCAAUUUGAGGAAGCCCAUCAUUGGAAUAUACAAGCCAAGUUCUAUAAUGUAAAAUUCCCACUAGUUUAUAAAAGUGACAACAUAUGAGACUCUCUAUCAUGAAGAUCAUGGUGCUACUUUGAAGCACAAGUGUGGAAAAAGAUAGUAGCAUUUUCCCUUCUCUCUUUUUCUCUCAUUUUUUUAUUUGGGCCUUCUUUUUUUGGCCUCUUUUCUUUUUUUUCGUCCGGAGUCUCAUCCCGACUUGUGGGGGAAGCAUAGUCUCCAUCAUCCUUUCCUCACUGGGACAAUGCUCUAAUAAUGAUGAUCAUCACACUUCUUUUUACUUACAACUCAAUACUUAGAACAAAAUAUGACUCUAUGUGAAUGCCUCCGGCGGUGUACUGGGAUAUGCAAUGAAUCAAGAGUGACAUGUAUGAAAGAAUCAUGAACGGUGGCGUUGCCACAAAUACGAUGUCAACUACAUGAUCAUGCAUGGCAAUAUGAUAAUGAUGAAGCGUGUCAUAACAAACGAAACGGUGGAAAGUUGUAUGGCAAUAUAUCUCGUAAUGGCUAUGGAAAUGCCAUAAUAGGUAGGUAUGGUGGCUGUUUUGAGGAAGGUAUAUGGUGGGUGUAUGAUACCGGCGAAAAGUGCGCGGUAAUAGAGAGGCUAGCAAAUGUGGAAGGGUGAGGGUGCGCAUAAUCCAUGGACUCAACAUUAGUCAUAAAGAACUCACAUACUUAUUGCAAAAAUCUAUUAGUUAUCAAAACAAAGUACUACGCGCAUGCUCCUAGGGGGAUAGAUUGGUAGGAAAAUACCAUCGCUCGUCCCCGACCGCCACUCAUAAGGGAGACAAGCAAUAAAUAAAUCAUGCUCUGACUUCAUCACAUAACGGUUCACCAUACGUGCAUGCUACGGGAAUCACAAACUUCAAUACAAGUAUUUCUCAAAUUCACAACUACUCAACUAGCAUGACUCAAAUAUCACCAUCUCCAUAUCCCAAAACAAUUAUCAAGUAUCAAACUUCUCAUAAUAUUCAAUGCACUUAUAUGAAAGUUUUUAUUAUUCCUAAAAGAAAAUUACCGUUCUGUUCUAAAGGACUCUCAAAAUAAUAUAAGUGAAGCAUGAGAGAUCAAUUAUUUUUAUAAAAUAAAAUCACCACCGUGCUCUAAAAGAUAUAAGUGAAGCACUAGAGCAAAAACUAUAUAGCUCAAAAAAAUAUAAGUGAAGCACAUAGAGUAUUCUAAUAAAUUCCAAUUCAUGUGUGUCUCUCUCAAAAGAUGUGUACAACAAGGAUGAUUGUGGUAAAAUAAAAAGCAAAGACUCAAAUCAUACAAGACUCUCCAAGCAAAACACAUAUCAUGUGGUGAAUAAAAAUAUAGCUCCAAGUUAUCGAUGAACGAAGACAAAAGAGGAGAUGUUUUCCGGGGCAUCCCCAAGCUUAGGCUUUUUGGUGUCCUUGAAUUUUACCUUGGGGUGCCUUGUGAAUCCCCAAGCUUAGGCUCUUACCACUCCUUGUUCCAUAAUCCAUCAAAUCUUUACCCAAAACUUGAAAACUUCACAACACAAAACUUAACAGAAAAUCUCGUGAGCUCCGUUAGUGAAAGAAAACAAAACACCACUUCAAGGUACUGUAAUUAACUCAUUCUUUAUUUAUAUUGGUGUUAAACCUACUGUAUUACAACUUUUGUAUGGUUUAUAAACCCCAUUACUAGCCAUAGUUUCAUCAAAAUAAGCAAACAACACACGAAAAACAGAAUCUGUCAAAAACAGAACAGUCUGUAGUAAUCUGUAACUAACGCAUACUUAUGGAACCCCAAAAAUUCUAAAAUAAAUUUCUGGACGUGACUAAUUUAUCUAUUAAUCAUCUUCAAAAAGAAUUAACUAAAUAGAACUUUCCAAUAAAAAAUGGCAGCAAUUCUCGUGAGCGCUAAAGUUUCUGUUUUUUACAGCAAGAUCAAAAAGACUUUCCCCAAGUCUUCCCAACGGUUCUACUUGGCACAAACACUAAUUAAACACAAUCAAAACAGAGUCUAGAUAAAUUAUUUAUUACAUAACAGCAAGGAAAAAUAUUGGGUUGUCUCCCAACAAGCGCUUUUCUUUAAAGCCUUAUAGCUAGGCAUAAGAUUUCAACGAUGCUCACAUGAAAGACAAGAAUUGAAGCACAAAGAGAGCAUCAUAAAACAUAUGACAAACACAUCUAAGUCUAACAUACUUCCUAUGCAUAGGCAUCUUAUAGGCAAACAAAUUAUCAAGGCAAGAAAAAACUAGCAUAUGCAAGGAAGCGGAAAGAAACAAUAGCAAUCUCAACAUAAUGAGAGGUAAUUUAGUAACGUGAAAAUUUCUACCACCAUAUUUUCCUCUCUCAUAAUAAUUACAUGUAGGAUCAUAAUCAAAUUCAACAAUAUAGCUAUCACAAAACAUAUUCUUAAUACAAUCCACAUGUAUGCAAAGUUGACACUCUUCCAAAAUAGUGGGAUUAACAUUAACUAAAGUCAUGACCUCUCCAAACCCACUUCUAUCAAAAACUUCAUAAGAUUGAACAUUCUCCAAAUAUGUGGGAUCUAAAGUUGACACUCUUCCAAACUCACUUUUAAUAUUAUUGAAAAUAUUAUUAUCAAUCUCAUAUUCAUCAUGGGGCUUAAAUAAAUUCUCAAGAUCAAAAGAAGAAUCACCCCAAUCAUGAUCAUUGCAACAAGUAGUACACAUAGCAAAACUAGCAUCCCCAAGCUUAGGGUUUUGCAUAUUAUAAGCACAAUUGACAUUAAUAGAAUUUAUACUAUCAUCAUUGCAAUCAUGCUUUCUAUUCAAAGAUCCAUCGUGAAUCACUCCAUAAAGUACUUCAUCACAAUUUUCAGAUUCAUGAAUUUCAAGCAAAACUUCAUAAAGAUAAUCUAGUGCAUAAAACUCACUAGCAAUUGGUUCAUCAUAAUUGGAUCUCUUAAAAAGAUUAGCAAGCGGAUGAGGAUCCAUAGAUCUUAGGUUCUCUGUUUAGCAAUAAAUAAACAACUAUUCCAACCAAACGAGCAAACGAGCCAAGUAAGACAUCAAAGCAAAUGGAAAGACGAACAGAAGAAGGGCGAAUAAAACGGCAAGGGUGAAGUUGGGGAGAGGAAAACGAGAGGCAAAUGGCAAAUAAUGUAAUGCGAGGGAUAAGAGUUUGUGAUGGGUACUUGGUAUGUCUUGACUUGUGCGUAGACUCCCCGGCAACGGUGCCAGAAAUCUUUCUUGCUACCUCUUGAGCAUGCGUUGGUUUUCCCUUGAAGAGGAAAGGGUGAUGCAGCAAAGCAGCGUAAGUAUUUCCCUCAGUUUUUGAGAACCAAGGUAUCAAUCCAGUAGGAGACCACGCGCGAGUCACCUCCUACCUACACAAACAAAUAAGAACCUUGCAACCAACGCGAUAAAGGGGUUGUUAAUCCCUUCACGACCACUUGCAAGAGUGAGAUCUGAUAAAGUUAAUAAUAAUAAGAUAAAUAUUUUUGGUAUUUUUAUGAUAUAGAUUGAAAGUAAAGAUUGCAAAAUAAAAUAGAUUGGAAACUUGUAUGAUGGAAGAUAGACCCGGGGACCAUAGGUUUCACUAGUGGCUUCUCUCAAGAUAGCAUAAGUAUUACGGUGGGUGAACAAGUUACUGUCAAGCAAUUGAUAGAAUUGAGCAUAGUUGUGAGAAUAUCUAGGUAUGAUCAUGCAUAUAGGCAUCACGUCCGUGACAAGCAGACCGACUCCUGCCUGCAUCUACUACUAUUACUCCACACAUCGACCGCUAUCCAGCAUGUAUCUAGAGUAUUAAGUUCAUAAGAACAGAGUAACGCUUUAAGCAAGAUGACAUGAUGUAGAGGGAUAAACCCAUGCAAUAUGGUAUAAACCCCAUCUUUUUAUCCUCGAUGGCAACAAUACAAUACGUGUCGUUUCCCCUACUGUCACUGGGAUCGAGCACCGCAAGAUUGAACCCAAAGCUAAGCACUUCUCCCAUUGCAAGAAAGAUCAAUCUAGUGGGCCAAACCAAACUGAUAAUUCAAAGAAACUUGCAAAGAUAACCAAUCAUACAUAAAAGAAUUCAGAGAAGAUUCAAAUAUUGUUCAUAGAUAAUCUUGAUCGUAAACCCACAAUUCAACGGAUCUCGACAAACACACCGCAAAAAGAAGAUUACAUCGAAUAGAUCUCCAAGAGAAUCGAGGAGAACUUUGUAUUGAGAUCCAAAGAGAGAGAAGAAGCCAUCUAGCUAAUAAAUAUGGACCCGAAGGUCUAGGGUAAACUACUCACACAUCAUCGGAGAGGCUAUGGUGUUGAUGUAGAAGCCCUCCGUGAUCAAUGCCCCCUCCGGCGGAGCGCCAGAAAAGGCCCCAAGAUGGGAUCUCACGGGUACAGAAGGUUGCGGCGGUGGAAUUAGGUUUUCGUGGUGCCCUCUGAUGUUUUCAGGAUACGUAGGUAUAUAUAGCAGGAAGAAGUAGGUCGGUGGAGCCACGAGGGGCCCACGAGGGUGGAGGGCGCCCCCUGCCUCGUGGCCUCCUCGUUGAUUGCUUGACGUCCACUCCAAGUCCUCUGGAUCAUGUUUGUUUCAAAAAUCACGCUCCCGAAGGUUUCAUUCCGUUUGGACUCCGUUUGAUAUUCUUUUUCUGUGAAACACUGAAAUAGGCAAAAAACAGCAAUUUGGGUUGGGCCUCCGGUUAAUAGGUUAGUCCCAAAAAUAAUAGAAAAGUGUAUAAAUAAGCCCAUUAAACAUCCAAAACAGAAUAUAUAAUAGCAUGGAACAAUCAAAAAUUAUAGAUACGUUGGAGACGUAUCACGCUUCUGGACCAAUGGAAGAGUCAGGGGCUAUGCACAUGUGAGGUGAACUUGCUGGACACUGUGGUGGGGUCAAUUCCUCUGGUGAUCGCGAGAAUGGAGUUCGUGAUAGCAGAUAGCUUCGGCUUUCGAUGAACUCGAUCCUUCGGUGGGCCUAGGGCACUAUGUGGAUGUCUGGGAGGUUCGUCGUGGCUCAGGGACUAGAGUGGUGGCAAUGGUUGGUGCUGAGGGCGUCUGGGGUUGCUGGAAUUUUUCCGGCAUUGAGCUAUGGCAGAAUGGAGAAGGUGAGCUCAUGGCCGAGCAACCUGGCGGCGAGAGGGGUUGCGGUGUUGGGGCUUUUGCAGAGGAGGGCGAGGGCUUCAACUCGACCUAGCGCGGGCGUGGCCAUGGACGAGCGAACGUGCAAACGUGUGCAUGGCUUGCUCUAGUCGUGGGCACCGUGGGCGGUUGCCGCGAUGUGGGCCCGGGGUGUCAGCAGGAGAGGGGGGAGAGAGAGCCCGAGCGCGGGUGGGCUUGCUCCGCGGGCCGUGUUCAGGUUAGCUAGGUCGUGCGCGUAGUUUAUGUUUCUUUUUUAUUUUCUUCUUUUCUAUUUUUUGUUUCUAUUUUUCUCAAUUAUUUUUAUUUGAUUUCUAUUUUGAAUUUUCUUCCAAAAGCAAACUUGCUCUAAAUUCAUUUGUGAAUAUUUCCGAGCUUCUCAACAUUUUGUUUGGGCAUUUCGAACAUAUAUUUUCUGCACCUUAUUUCCCUCUUGGAUUUCAAUUUGGUUUUAAAACCAAAUAUGUUUCAAUAGGGUCAAAUUGGUAAUUUUUCUUACANNNNNNNNNNNNNNNNNNNNNNNNNNNNNNNNNNNNNNNNNNNNNNNNNNNNNNNNNNNNNNNNNNNNNNNNNNNNNNNNNNNNNNNNNNNNNNNNNNNNNNNNNNNNNNNNNNNNNNNNNNNNNNNNNNNNNNNNNNNNNNNNNNNNNNNNNNNNNNNNNNNNNNNNNNNNNNNNNNNNNNNNNNNNNNNNNNNNUGUUAUAUUUGGUUAUUUACUAAAAUCUCCUUUUGGUGGAGAAGGGUGGAUUGUUAGUGUAGAUAAUUUAGAAGAUAUAAUUGGUGGACAUGUAUGGUUGGGUUUUAUUUGUGUAUUUGGCGGAAUUUCCAAUUUGGAAAAUUAUCAGAAACUUAAGCUCACCAUUUGGACUUAUGAAAUUCACUUUCUGCCAAAAAAAGUGUGAAGCCAUUUUUUUUAUAACCAUCCCUUUGAUUUUUGAAUUGAUUCCAAAAUAGAUACAACUCAAUAAUUUAGGGAAGAUUUAUUAGGGCUUGAUUAUCAUUUGGGUCCUAUUAAGGAUAGCCUUAUUCCCAAAUGAAUUAUUUCAAUUGGUCACCCUAUUUUGGAAUUCAAAAUUAUUCCCCAAAACUUUUAGGGUUCAUCAUGUUUUCCCAAAUUUCAACAAGGGUUUCAAAGGUUGGCAUAGGGUUCUUGUCCCUCUAGGUGCAUCAAUCACAAGAAAAUCCUAGGCAAUAUUAGUUAGCUAGAGAGUAAUCAUAGGUUUUUGCAGAAAAUUUUUGAUUCCCUGUGAAAUUUUUAACAUACUAGAUUUGGAGAAAAUCUGGGAUGUGACAGGUAUCCAGCCGCUCCAACACGGAGCUCACCCGAUCUACGAGUACAGUGGCAAGGACGACAUCACCAGGGCAAUCCGAGCUGACUUAUAUGAGUCGAAGUCAAUCCAAGAGAUGCAUUCCUUCAUGUUUACGGGGAGGAUCGCCGAUUUCCCUGAAGAGGCAACCCACUGCGACUUCUCACCCUAAUUACUUGCAGCAGAGUUUAGGGUUUCUUAUCCCUUCAAAUCCUCAAGUCAGCGCAUUCUGGGUUGAUCAAUUGUUCUUUUUCUUCCAGAAGUGGUGUCUAUGGUCAACAAUGUGCAUUCCCCAGCUCCAUAGCCCGAUGAUUUGAUACCCCCGGAACUCCAUUUUCUCCUAGCCAUCGACACAUGUCGGGCUAUAGUCCAUACGUCGCACGCCAAGGAGCCUGUAGCACAGAACGACAACGUCGUCGAGUAUGAAGAGUUGUAUUCCAACUCUAGUUGUGGAGCUAAAGAGGAUGGCCGGGCGAGUUUAUCCUGAACAAGCGAGACCACAAUGACGGGGCAUCAGGCUCCCAGACUGUACCACCAAGCCAACCUGAAGACGACAUGAACGUCUCCUCCCACUGAGAUUAACAUAUUGAGAUUGAUGAAGUCAUCACACACACCUUCGUAGUCGACGAAAACGUCUCCUCCCACUAAACGAGCAUCGCCGGGAAGUCUGUAAUAAAUCCAGGAAAGUGCGAGCACCAGCGCCAAAUCUGGGACUUGAACCCUGGUGGGCUGGUUCCACCACAAGGAAUAUAAUCAUUUAAGUUACGCUCAGUUCGCUGUUAAGGGCCUCUUUGACUAAGAGGAUUUUCAUAGGAAUAGUGGAGGCUACAAAUCCUUAAAGAGUUUUUUCUAUGUUGGUUCUUUGGUUCAUACGAUUGAAUCCCAUAGAAUUUUUCCUAAGAAAUCCAUCACACUACAUGUCAAAGGAAAAAACCACACCCACUCUGACCUCAUGCAAAAAAUCUUUGUUUUUCCUAUGAUGCAAUCAAACACACUUGGGUGCGAACAAAAUCUCAUACUAUCUGGCUGGACAUGGCACUGCAAUCCUAGGGUUUUUUUUUCAUUCCCGUGUUGUUCCAAUCUAUCUAUAAAGAAGGCCUUAGAGGCCCAAAAUACACAAUGGGACAAGGGUGCACAUGCACCCGAACCGCAAAAGGGAAAGUAAAAAAUGGUCAAAUAUUUGUUUAAAACUUCUUCAUAACAAGCAUUGUCCAAUGUAUUACUCACGUGUAAAGUUUCGCAACAAAAUGACUUUCGUGGUAUUCUGAACAAACAAACAAACAAACAAAAAAACGGCACUAUAUUAAGCUUGAUAUUCACACAGUUUGUAAUUGUAAUUCAGUCUUUUUUGCGAACAAUACCACAAAAGUCAUUUGUCCCGAAACCUUACACGUGAGUCAUUAUUACUAGACAAUGCUUGUUCCGACAAAGUUUUACUUUUUUUUACUAUUUCUAAUUGUUCUGCCUAAGCGAGGGAAAAGAAUUAUACGAGAUCAGGUCUCAUGGGCUAGCAUGUGAGACCCACCCUGAUGGAUAACACGUGUCAUUUACAAAUCACAAAGCAUGUACCCCACCCCCAGUUAAAAUGAGGGAGGAAGAGAUUAGAUGCUUUAUGAUUUAUGAAUGCCACGUGUCAUCCAUCAGGGUGGGUCUCACCUGCUAGCCCGUGAGACCUGGUCUCAUAUGAUUUUUUUUCUCAGAUUUCCAAAAAAUCCGCACUGCUGUUGAGAGCGGAAGAAAAUGUACUACAAAAAGGAGAUAAAUUCGAAGAAUUUGUGCCAAACAAGGUAAGAAGUGUCGCGAUCCGGUAACAUUUGAAAUUCGCGUGCGGGAAAAGGGCUGCUGCGCCCGCUCGUAGAAAGCUUGGUUGUAGGUCGAGCGGUGUGCAGUUCACUGUCGCGACCGUCGUACGAAUCACGUGGAAACGCGAAUACAUAUGGCUGUGGUUCAUCCCCGACCCCGCGGUCCCCUCUGCCGCUGCACCGCUCCGCCCCGCCCGCCCGCCUGCUCUGCCUGCCCGCCUGCUACUGCUGCCUACACCUACACCUACACCUACACCUACACCUACACCCAUCCGUCCGUCCGUCCUCCUCCACUUGACCCGGUGGUACCACUCGCCUCGUCUCGGAGCAGGGCAGCGGAUACCAGGCGGGAGCUAGCCCGCGCACGCCUCUCCUGCGCGCGCGGCGAGGGUACGGCCAUGGCGUACCAGUACCACCACCAGGACCACGCCGCGGCCGCGCUGGGGAUGGACGCCGCGGCGGCGGCGGCGGCGGCCGCGGGGAACCCCGGCGGCGGCGGCUUCGCGCCAGGUUUGGGCGCGGGCGGGUGGGAGAGGGAGAAGGCGGCCAUCGAGGCGCACCCGCUGUACGAGCGGCUGCUGGAGGCGCACGUCGCCUGCCUGCGCGUCGCCACCCCCGUCGACCAGCUGCCCCGCAUCGACGCGCAGAUCGCCGCGCGCGCCCCGCCGCCCAUGCCCCCCGCCGCCGCGCCCGCGGGCGGCGAGGAGCUCGACCUCUUCAUGGUGAGCUGCUGCUACCACGAGGCCUCCUCGCCUCACGCCGGCCGCGUACGGAGGCCUGCUCCGUGGGUGCUGUAGUAUGGUAGAUUGACGCGGCGUGCGUGCGUGCGUGCUUCGAAAAAUUGGGGAUUGGGUGGGAUUUGGCGAUGAAGUUGCCCCGCUCGUGUUGGGAUUUUUUGGGAUUUCAAACAGGCUAGCCAGAUUACCCUUUUUCCCGAACGCACGGAACAUGUUUGAUUGGUUGCGCAUGAGCUCAUAUGGGAUUAGCACUCGCUAAUUUCUGCCGGUGGAUUUGGUUUAGGCUAGGUUCCUCAACUGUGAGUAUUAUUAUGCUAGUUCAUCCUUUGAUUAUUACCCAUCCCACCUGCAAAUAAAUUACUGCUUGCUCUAGGUUCUAGCUGUGAGCAACUUUGUUUUCUCAACCACGAGCGCCUCACCUCUGCGAUAGAGACAAAAGCAAACCCCAAAAAACAACUACAAGUGUCCCUUUGCUAGGCAAGCAGGGGCUCCUUUGCCUGGAAAUGGCAAUUCUCCUUGUGUAAAGGUUAUUAUCGACCACCUGCCUUUUCUAUAUGUGUUCUAAAGGUUCUGCUUUCCUUGUUGCAGACACACUAUGUGCUGCUCCUCUGUUCCUUCAAGGAGCAGCUCCAGCAGCAUGUGCGCGUCCACGCCAUGGAGGCGGUGAUGGCCUGCUGGGAGCUCGAGCAGACUUUGCAGAGUCUUACAGGUAGCAUAGCAUACAGCAUCUUAAGUUCAUCAGUUCAACAGCAGGAUAUGUGCUUCUUAAGUUUUCUACCAAGAGGGUUUUACAAUCUGUACACUACAUGCUUAUUAAUUGAUAGUCAUGGUAAGUAUCAUACUACAAUGAGGGGCACUGCUUUAUAGGAUCUUCACCACAGGGGAUUUUUUUUUAAAUAAGGGUUUUAUUUGCUUCUGCUCUCUGCACCCAGCGAGUGACAGAUCACAAUUAUAGUUAAUUAUUUCAAAAUUCAAUCAGAAAAACCUUAAUCACUUGACCCUUUUUUCCUCUAUUGUUGCAUUCCCUGAUAGUCCCUCCGUCCCAAAAUAAGUGUCGUGGUUUGCCAAAAUAAGUGUCGUGGUUUUAGUUCAAACCACGACACUUAUUCUGGGACGGAGGGAGUAGAAAAUAUAGGUCAUAAUUCCCCGCCUUGUAGGUCCUAUGAGAUAUUAGGUCCACCUUUGUAGUAAUACCGGUUCCUUCUUUUAUAUUAUCAGUUACAAGAAUUGCAGACUUAAGCUGUUGAAGCUGGCUUUAAAGCUAUACCUUUUGAGAUUUCAGUUCGGUGUAUGUGACAGUUGUGCAUGAACCUUGUGCUGUACUGACCAUGCAACUGAACUGGUAGUACCUUGUGAUCAUAAUCUUAACAAGUUGUCCUGAUAAAGUUGCUCUUGCUAAGUCUAGUGCAAUUAACUUCCACACAAAACAGUCACAGUCACGGACUAUAUAAUAGGGAAGCAUCACACAAGGGGUACCCUUUCAGAUGCUUCAUGUUGUUUGUUGAAAAGACAGGCAAUCCAUGUAGGAAAAGAAGUCCCUUGCCUAGUGCCAAAAAAAAACUGCAUAUCAAAGAACGCUUCAUGGUUACAAAAUGAACUGACAUAGCUACAAAACUUUCUAGUGGAAUUGUACUUCACUUUAAAUUAAUUCAUAGGAGAUUGCCUGCAUAUAGUACUGUUUUCAUUUACUUUUGCUAAGGCUGUAAGGCACAUUUGCCACCAUUCUGCCUAUGGGCAUCACGAGGCACACACCUAUGAGAAAACCGUGCCAGUAUCCAUUCACACUGGAAACUGGUGUCGCCGUGAAAACCAAAGGGAGUGAUUUUCAGUUUUUAGUUGGCAAUAGAACUUUGCAUAAUCUGUUUCUAUGUGUAAUCAUCAGUCGGUUUGCAUCAGUUUACGAUGAGAGGCAUAUGUUUGAACAUGGAAGUUUGCCUGCAGAUAAUAAUGAGUAUUAUGUCGGGAGAAAUCAUAAUGAUAUAAACCUAGAGCAAGUUUAAGCCUGGAUAGGCUUAGUUAAAUAUCAUACCGGCAAAGGCAAUAUGCAACAUAAAUGUGACCAAGGUAAGUUUUGCUGCUAAUACUAAUUCUUCCUGUAGGGGCAUCUCCUGGCGAAGGCACCGGGGCGACUAUGUCUGAUGAUGAAGACAACCCGGUCGACAGCGAGAGCAACAUGUUUGACGGAAACGAUGUGUCAGAUGGCAUGGGCUUCGGAAUGCUAACCGAGGGUGAGAGAUCCUUGGUCGAGCGCGUGAGGCAAGAGCUGAAGCAUGAGCUUAAACAGGUAAAACUUACCGCCUUCCAGUCUGUCAGCUGCCACCAUGUUGGUGUCUAAGCUUCUAUUCCUGACUUGCAGGGGUACAGAGAAAAGCUUGUGGACAUCAGGGAGGAGAUACUGCGGAAGCGGAGAGCCGGUAAGCUCCCAGGAGACACGGCGUCCACUCUGAAGGCGUGGUGGCAAGCCCACGCCAAAUGGCCGUACCCAACUGUAAGUGACAGCCCGCAGAUACCACUAUCACCCUUUUUACUUGCAAUUUUGGUUCCGCUACCGAUGAUCAUUGAUCGAUCUCCCUCGGGCGGCUUUGUUAGGAGGAGGACAAGGCGCGGCUGGUGCAGGAGACGGGGCUGCAGCUGAAGCAGAUAAACAACUGGUUCAUCAACCAGCGCAAGCGGAACUGGCACAGCAACCCUACCUCGUCCUCGUCGGACAAGAGCAAGAGAAAAAGGUACGGUUUACCGAUGAUCCAUCUCAAAGAAUUCCUUUUACAUACUAUACUCGAGACCUCUCUGGUUGGUUUUCAUUCCCUCUCUUUAUUCUCAAAAAAAGGAACAAUGCAGGUGACGGCAACGCCGAGCAGUCCUGGUAGGGCGGGCGCGGCUGGAGAGCGAAGAACGAAUGCCCCAUAUAUGUACAUAGCGCUUCCAUCUUGGAGAAGGCUUGAUACUACUAUUUAUUGGUCCGGGAGGCGACGAGCCUCCCGGACCCAACACCGUCUGUACUGUACCCCAAAAGGAAGAAGAAAACAUGUAGUAGUAAUGUUGUAACGGAGUUACCCGAAAUCUGUAGCUGUUUUGUGGCGCGGCGUCGCUGUGAGCGAGUGUAUACGGGCUGUUCCGUGGUGUGCUUGUGGGUCGUGUGUUGCGUUGCCGUGGGACUGGCGGAAGUGUCGUGUGUUGUGUGGGUGGGUGCUGUGUAUUUGCGUACCUGUACGUGUACUGACCAUGAUGCCUUGUUUGUGCGUUCUAUCUGUCUGUAGCCUGCACCCUCGGUUCUUUUUUUCUGUGUCCGUUUAUUUUUCUGUGUGAUCAGGCGGCGGUUAUUUUUCUGUGUGUUGCGUCAGAAGAAGGAUCACGAGGGGCCUGAAAACGUCAGUUAAUCGCACCUGGGGGUAGGGUAAGGGGGGGCCUGGACGUUCGGUGUGGCAGCUGGUGCGUGGUACCGCCAGCCAGCGUAAACUCGCAGAUUCGGGUCCCCUGAAAGAAAAUGCUCGCAGGUUCAGUUUACGGCGGAGAGCCGAGAGAUUUGGCACGCGGGGACGAGGAGGAAGAUCUGUGAUGGACUUUUUUUUUUUUUUGCGGGAGAGAUCUGCGGGUAUGCGGCGCUACCAGUACGACGAUAUCUCCGGAUCCUCUCGCGCAGAUCAGGGGAAGUUGUCAACAAACAAAGGGGAGCACGUAAACUAGUUGUCGUACUACCGUACUACUCACUCCGUUCCAAAGUAUGAAUGUAUCUAGAUGUAUUUUAGUUCUAGAUACAUCCAUUUCUACGACAAGUAAUUUGGAACGGAGUGAGUAGCAGUAUGACAGCACAAUGCGAUUAACCCCCGUCCCAUCCGACGCGGCCGGAUCUGGGCCCUGGUACCGGAGCCAGCCAACCAACUCAAACCCACCCACUUGAGCAGGCCGAAGAAUCGGAUCCGUCGCCCGUGCACCAGUCCGCCCCAUGCCCGAGGCGCCGCGUCAGGCCGGUCACGUUGGCCGCGCCGUCCCCCACGCACCUCGUCCUCCUCACAUCACACCAUCACAUGCGCAUCCGCAUCGUCCUCUCCUCCUCGUCCCCGUCGUGGCACCCCGCAUGUGCCCCGGGCAUGGGCGACCCGGACUUCACUCGGCCGUGCAAAGUCAGCAUCCAAGAUGGCAUCGGGCAUGGGUCAUCCACCACCCAAGCCACAGAAUCAGCGCAAAACCAAGGACGAUGGACACACACACACGAGUAAUAAUGGCCUCUUUGAUUCACAAGAUUUUGUAAAGGCAGGAACAGGGAAUGUAUACGACAUGUCCACUUAAGGAGUGUACGAUGCCACAUGAAAAACAAAGGAACUCUAAGGGGCCUCUUUGAUUCAUAGGAUUUUAAAAACGAAGUUAUAGAAAAAGUAUAGGGUUAAAGUGGCAUGUCCACUUGAAUCCUAUAUCCUAAAGGAAUAGCAAUGAGUGUUUGAUGGCACAGGGAAAACAAAUGAAUUGUAAAAAGAGGUUGGACUGGAUGUUAGAUUUCCUAUAGAAUGUAGUACAAAAGAUUUCCAUGGGAAAAAUUCUUAUGGGGUUCAAUCCUGGGAAUCAAAGGACCAACAUAGGAAAAAAAAUCCCAAGGAUCUAAAUCCUCUAGAAAUCCUAUAAAAUUCAUUUGAAUCAAAGGAGCCCUAAAAUGAGGUUAGAGUAGAAGAUUUCAUAUGAAAAAUGCCUAUGGGAUCCAAUCCUAUUAUGAACCAAAGGACCAGCAUAAGAAAGAUUUCCAAGGACUUCAAAGGAGCCCUAAGAAAACUUCCCGACGCAAGAAAUAUCCUAUAGGAUUUCUUCGACUCAAAGGAGCCCCAAGUACAACAGCUGCAGCCCUUUCAGGCAGAAAACAGAGGGAACUACAUGCUAACAAUGUAAUCAAAAUAACUGGAUAUAUUUUUCUUCCUCACAGGAUAAAACAAAACAACUGGACCCUUUUUACAGCGACACCGAACCAUUUCGGUAUACAUAACAAACACACGAAAAACCAAGCAUAUACAAGCAAUAUAGGACCUCAACUGACAGUUCCCAAAAACUUGUAUUACACCACCCAGAUUACACAACCAGUUCAUCACCACAUUCUUCAGACUGACCUGACCUGACCUGACCGACCAACGACUUCCAAACAGACUCGAUUAUUACCCACAAGAGAAGGCAGGGGAGACAAAGGGAAGAAAAUAAAUAAAAUAUCGGACUCUCUAUAACUGACAAUAAGACUGGCUUAUUCAGCGCGCCUCUAAGCCAAAGCCAAAGGGGAAGGGUAUAAAUGAAUGAAUACGGAUCUGGGACGACGACCGACCGACACUUCUAGACACGGGGAGGUUGGGAGGGAGGGCUGAUGAUUUUAUGAUUACAAGGUAUGAAACAAUGAAGGGGUAUGAACAGAUAGAUAGACCCUAGGGACCGACCGACCGACGCUAUGAAAGAACGAAACCAACCAUAUAUAUAAUAUUUAUAUAUAUCAGCACCGGAUUUUCUUAAAAUACGCAAUAUGCGAAGACGAACUUGUCCAAGACGGAUGGAUGGCCCCAGAAGUUUUCUCAAGACCACUGCUGGCGCUACUAGGAUUGCACCUUCUGGGACGCGGCCAUGGCGCGCAGCCUGACGGCGAUCUGGGUGAAGCUUGGCCGUUCCGACGGUUCUGUCGCCCAGCAUUGCUCCAUCAGCGACCUCCACUCUGGGUCGCAUGAGUCAGGCACCUGCGGCCGCAGAGUGUUGCUCACAAUGCCACCUGACAGUUCAAACAACAGCUUACAUCAGACUCUGACCAUCCACUGCACAAGUAAUUUCUACGAGGGUAUGGCUGAUUGUGCACCCACCAAUGAUAACACCAUAAUGCAAAUCUGCAUAUGGUUCCUCUCCUGUGAGGAGUUCCCACAGGACAAUCCCAAAGGAGAAGACAUCAACCUGAGGGAAACAUAUCAACAUUAGUGUGCAAGUUAUACGUAAACCAGGGUAUAGCUAUCUGAAUUUGGACACGGAAGCAAUAUGAAGGGAUUAGCAAACCUUUUCAGAGACCAGGCUGCUGCUUCCAUUCAGAAGCUCUGGGGCCAUCCAUGGAAGCGUUCCCCUCACACCACCAGAGAUGAGGGUCUGACACUUGACUUUUGAAAGCCCAAGGUCACCAACCUGCAUCAUCCAAGAAAAAUCAAUGCAGAUAUAUAUAGAAAGAGAAAUGGUGUUUAACUUAAAUCAUACAAAAAAGCAAAACUGUUCGCAUUGGUCGGUCGAUCCAGUUUGUUGACAGUUCACAUGAGCAAUAUUUCAUUCGCAUGUGACAGUGCAAGAACUAAAAGUGAAGCCUUAGUUAUCUAUAAACUACAGAUAAUGCGGCAUGGAUGUUUAGUAGAUCAGUAAAAGAUGACAAAAUUCAGAUGGCAAACAAGUGAUUCUUUAGUACAAAUAAAAGGAGUUUAUUGUUAGUAGCCAUGCAUUAUUAUACCACGCAUGUUCCCUGCAGUGUUGACGGAAGAUGCCUUAAGGUUAGCUAAAAGCCUAAAAUGAUCCCCGGACUAAUCUAAAUCAAUCAUGUCUAUUCUAAGGUGCAACUCAUCAAUUGCCCAAGCAACAGUACAUUCUCGCCCACAUGAAUGUCCAUAUGAUUACCACAACAAAGCACUGUAUAUUCCAAGUAUGAUGGGAUAUUGAUGCUAAAACUUAUCAAUAAUACCUAAUAAUUUGAAAAGUCAAUAUAGACAGAUUACCCAAUAUCAAACAUACAAAAUAUGAUACAGAAGAGAAGAAUCAAUAGUCUAGCAAUUUAGUGCAACAAGCCAGCAAUAGUACAAAACAGAAUUGAGUUCUUACCUUGCAUAUUGGACGCUGAGGAUCCCUUAAAUUAACAAGUAAAUUGUCGCUUUUGAGGUCAAAGUGCACAAUGUUUUUGUUAUGCAGAUACUCCAUUCCAAAAGCUGUGUCCAUGGCAAUAAUUAGCCGUUUGCGUCGAUCCAGGCUCCUGCACAUGCAGAGAAUAUUAAUCGCCUCAGCUUCAUGUUGGAUUAUAAGUUUCAAGUUUUUAAGAUGUGGCAGUUGAUACAUGAGAAUUACUUCUAAGACAUAUGCUAGAAUGCAGACAUUUUUUUGUUUUGAGAAAAGGCCUGAGGCCCAGCUUUAUUCAAAGCUUUGCAGACAUAUAAAUAGUGGACGUACUUGGAAUUCUUCAGCAAAGCCGUCCUAAGUGAGCCAUUAACCAUAUAUUCUGUAACCGUUGCAAUGGAUCCCCCAGGCCCAUCUAGAACAACGCCGUAAAAGGCCACAACAUUGGGGUGGUGCAGAUCAGCAAGGUUAGAUGCUUCAUUCCAGAAGUCAUUCCGCUGCAAACAUUCAGGACAUAUCAGUAUAAGGACAGGCAUAAGCAAAUAAAAGGAAAUAUAAAAUGUUAUAGUUAUACCAUUUUUUCUUGCUCAGAUGGCUUCCCAGCAAAACAUCUGUCAUUGAUUCUUUUUAUUGCAACAUCAGAGCCCCUCCAUUUACCAUGAUAUACAGUUCCAAAAGUUCCAGAACCGAGUUCUUGGAGCUCUUCGAGGUCAUCAUUCUUUAUAAUCUGAAAAACGAACAUAUGUGGUUGGUAAAGAACAUUACUUUGAAUUAAAGAUGCGCGGGAUAAAAAAGAUAAGAGUUCCUGAUUGUAACCUGGAGGCGUUCAUGCUCAUCUGCGACUGGUUGUCCUGAAAUCCAAUCUAGUGGUUUGCCCUUGCUAACCUGCACAUUUCUCUUGUUAGAUUGUUAAGUGCUAAAGAUGAAACAGAACGUAUAUGAACUUCUAAGGAAUCACAUCCUAACCUCGUUGGUGUGAGCUUGCCCGUCUACUUUAUUAGUGACAUUCCCAUGCCCUUCAUUCAGCACAGGAGGUGGAGGCUCAAAUGCGGCUAGACCAUCCUCCAUGCCCAGCAAGUCUGGGUUAGUGAUACCAUCACCUGGAUUCAUGAAAGACAGUAAUAAGCAUUCACAACUUAUGACUCAUUAAGCACAUAUACUGGCAAAAGGUGUAAUUGGAAGUAUUGUUAAGAAUUGAACCUUUGACAAACUGAGGUUGUUCUGCAUGUGUGUCUUUGUGAUAUGGUUGCUCCUCAGCCGGGAUAUUCAAAUCUGGCCCUUUGCAAUUCAACAGAGAGUUUUGGGAAUGGGGAUCCUUAGAACUGAUGUUCUCCCUGCUUGCUACCCUCUUAGGUCUUGGUGGCAGCGCAUGUACAUUGCUGAACUGUUGACCCGGUAAACCAGACUCCUGGAGCUGCUCGACUGGAGCGUGAUUUGCCAAUGCUGGUGUCGGUAAUGGUACCUGAGCAUUAGCGUUCGAAGGAGGAACGGAUUCAUGUGGAGCUUCCUUGUGAUAAACUUCAGGCAGAACAUCCUUCUGCUCGCCCAUUGGGUUAAUAGUGGCUUUUGUAUACGCAGGAUCAACACCAUAAGCCGAUGGGGGCACACCCACAUGCCCAAUCGUAGCGGCAACAUAACUGGGGUAUGGUCCCCCAAUGCUCACCAUUUGCGGCGGCAUAUGGUUAACGUUGGCAUGCUGGACAGUAUGCAUAUAAGGACUGGCCACAGAAGGCGGUGGCAUUGAUUCAGUUGGAGGGGCUAUCUUUGGCUCACUGACAUCAAAAAAGGUGUUGGUGUUGCUCUGAGAGUAUUGCGAUGUUGCAUUCUGGGGUAAACCAUUCUCGGCAUACAUCCUUUGUUCGGGAUAGCGGGGCUCGUUGGGGUUCACCCGUAGUGAAUCCAUCAUCCUGUCCACAUUGGCCAUAUAGGUUGGCACAGCAGCAGGUGCCACUGAAGGCACAUUAUCACGGAGCACUUGUCCAUCCCCCCGAUGCCUAGAAUUGCCACUUAAACUACCUUCGCCUUCAAGCGGAUUAUUGGGAUUAGUUUGCCUCACUUGGUACUGAGCCAUUCCAUGGGGUGAAGGCAUUUGAUGCAGUAUAGCUUGUUGAUGAGAGCUUGCAGUGUCAGAAUGAACGGAAUUUGGAGAGACCAUCUCAGUAGGCAUCAUGGGGAUAUGGUUAAAUCCAUAAGUCGACGACGGCACCUGCUGUGGUGGCAAUUGCUGCUGCUGGUGGUGCUGCUGCUGCACAUAGACAUGCUGAUGAAAGCUCGCUGGAUCGACGGGCAUUGGGUUUGCAACGCCUUCCAUCUUUGGUGCAUACAUCCUUUCCCUGUCAGGCUGCACUGGAUGCAUAUGUGUGUACCCAUAAGCCCCCAUUUGUGAAGGUAUUUGCCGCUCUCCCAUCAUGAUCCUUGCCACAUCUUCAGGCCGCAGGCUCAUGAACACUGGAAUUUGCUCAGGCGGCGCCCCUCCACGCACAUCGCUGGCAUAGUCAUUCACGACUGGAUCGGAGUGAGCAUGAGGCAGAGCCUUGAUACACAUAUUGCAGUCCUGAAACCAGGUCGCAUUUUCUGGUGGCUGCUGAUUCAGACCCUGCAUAACCUCCCUAUGAUCGUUCAUGAACACUGGUGGCAGUGGUGGUAGCUGUGAGAGUGGCUGACGGUACCUUGCUGCCUCCGGAUGUGGAUGCGGAUGCGGGUGUGGAUGUGGAUGGGGGGAUGGCUGAGGGGGCGCAGCACUCUCCUGCGGCUUCACCGGGACAGGGGCAGGAGCAGCAUUGGUGAAGACAUCAACAAGCAGCUGCUGGGGUGGCGGCGGAGCAGCAAAAGCCGAUCUGGCGGCGUCGUAGGAGCAGGUGGAGGUGGGGGAGACAGCAGUCGGGGAGCCGCCGCCGCCUCCUCCCCCUCCCCCUCCUCCUCCAGAAGAAGGCACAGCCGGGGUAGGAGGAGGAGGCCCGCCGUCGGAGCACUGGGUGGACGAGAGGCUGGCGUUGCUAUCCUUGCGCACAAUGCCGUUGACGGCCUCGAGGUACCUGAGGCCGGCGUCGAAGCUGGCGCCGCCCUCGGCGCCCUCGUCCCCGGCCGCGGCCGCCUCGGAGACGGGGAAGAUGAAGACCCGCAGCUUGGGGCUGGCGACGGCCAGCUUGUCGUACUCCUCCACCAUGUUGUCGAGAUCCUCGGGCGAGGAGACCGAGAUGAGCGCGUCGAGGCCCUCGUCGGGGAGCUGGUACUUGACCGCGAAGUGCGGGCCCGUGGCGCCGCCGUAGGCGUCGGCGAGGCGGGCCAGCAGGUCCUGCAGCGCCACCCCGCGCGGCACGGACACGAUCCGGGUGUCGCCGCCGGCGUACCGCAGCGUCCCGUCCCCGGGCCGCGGCAGGAUGCGCCCGCCGAGGCUGCACAGCAGCUUCAUCCGCUCCCCGCCACCUCCUCCCCCGCCCCCGCCGCCGCCGUCCUCGGCCAUCCCGCCGCGGCGGCGCGGGUCCGCCCCAACCCCCCUCCCCGCCCCCCCUUCCCCGGAUCUAACCCCGCAGGGCUCGGGCCGGGCCAGCAACGGAACCCCCUCACCAGGACACCACCAGGAGCCCUACCGCCGGCCGGAUUCGGGGAUUCCGGUGGCGGCGGGCGGCUCAAUGCGGAGUCAAUUGAAAUUUUUCGGGGGUGGGGAGUAGCGAGGGAGUGGGGAGCGGAGGGGGGGUGGGGUGGGGGGUGGGAGGGGUGCGUUGUACUCAAAAACCCUUGGCUCGCUCCCCCCGGCUGGCUUGGUGGUGUUGGUGUUGGUGGUGGUUCCCCCUCGCCCCGGCUGGCCCCCGUUUUAUAUAUUUUCCGGCCUUGGAUUUUCCCGUGCCGGAAUUUGGAGCCUUCCCUUUGGUUUUCCGUGUGCUUCUCCCCCCUGCCUCCCCUUUCUGUUUGCCUUUGGGCUUUGGAUCAUUUGCAAAAUCUUGGGUCUGGGUUUUCAAUCUGUGGGUCUGUCCCGUUCGUGUUGGUGGAAUUCGGUCGGGAGCCCCACCUUUCGGUUUGUUAGAAAAAAAGGUGUUUUGCCAAAACCUUGGGUUUGGGGUUUGAAUCCGUGGGUCUGUCGGGGGAAGAGGCCGUUCGUGUUGAUGGAAUUCGGCCGGGAGCCCCACAUUCCGGUUUGUUAGAAAAAAAGGGGUGCUCUAGAGGGGGUGCGAUGUUCGUCUGGGUGCGUCGCCGCCACUUGAUCUGUCAUGCAUUUAUGAUAAUAUAAAUUGAAGGAUAAUUUCACUGAAAAUUGCUUUGUUGAUGUGGAACUGGAACGUGACGGGAAGUGUUGAAGGAAUCCAAUGAUGAUGAUUUAAUUGCAGGCGAAAGGUAGUUGGCAGGUGUUGAACAGGAGUCGAGAACGAAAUUGUGAUUGACUGCUGGUGAUAGAAGAGGUCUCGUCGGACUGUGAUCUGUUGUGACGCUUGAUGGAAAUCAAUUUCUGUGUGCAAGAUUCAAUGUAGAGAUGGAUGUGCCGCAUUUAAAUCUAGACAUGGAUGUGUACACUUACACCAAUAGGAUCAUAGUGACAUCAGAUGUAUCAUGCAAAUAAUUUCCCGUGGUGCGCGGGCUAUUUUUUAAUUCAUGGUCAUUUAUAUUUAUUUCUUUGAAUAUUAAAUCUAUGGUGCAAUUAUAUCUAUCCUAAUUAGGUUGCGUGCAAUAAAGAUAAGUCAAGAAAACUCACANNNNNNNNNNNNNNNNNNNNNNNNNNNNNNNNNNNNNNNNNNNNNNNNNNNNNNNNNNNNNNNNNNNNNNNNNNNNNNNNNNNNNNNNNNNNNNNNNNNNNNNNNNNNNNNNNNNNNNNNNNNNNNNNNNNNNNNNNNNNNNNNNNNNNNNNNNNNNNNNNNNNNNNNNNNNNNNNNNNNNNNNNNNNNNNNNNNNNNNNNNNNNNNNNNNNNNNNNNNNNNNNNNNNNNNNNNNNNNNNNNNNNNNNNNNNNNNNNNNNNNNNNNNNNNNNNNNNNNNNNNNNNNNNNNNNNNNNNNNNNNNNNNNNNNNNNNNNNNNNNNNNNNNNNNNNNNNNNNNNNNNNNNNNNNNNNNNNNNNNNNNNNNNNNNNNNNNNNNNNNNNNNNNNNNNNNNNNNNNNNNNNNNNNNNNNNNNNNNNNNNNNNNNNNNNNNNNNNNNNNNNNNNNNNNNNNNNNNNNNNNNNNNNNNNNNNNNNNNNNNNNNNNNNNNNNNNNNNNNNNNNNNNNNNNNNNNNNNNNNNNNNNNNNNNNNNNNNNNNNNNNNNNNNNNNNNNNNNNNNNNNNNNNNNNNNNNNNNNNNNNNNNNNNNNNNNNNNNNNNNNNNNNNNNNNNNNNNNNNNNNNNNNNNNNNNNNNNNNNNNNNNNNNNNNNNNNNNNNNNNNNNNNNNNNNNNNNNNNNNNNNNNNNAAUCUAUGGAGGCGGAGUUUGGAGAAUAUCACCUCUGGGGUGACAUCGAAAUGUCUUGAUGGAGUGAGAGCUCGGAGGUGGAAGGGGCGGCGGCGAGGGGGGGAGGUUAUUAGGUCUUGAUGGCGAGGGGGGGCGUGAGAGGUUGCAUUUGUAUAGCGGUCGAGCGAGGUUUUCUUUAUCUAUAUCUAAAGGCUCGAUGAGGAUCUUUUACCAUAAAUGCUUCCUUGUUUUCUAACAAUGUGUAUGAAAGGAAUUGUAUAUAUGACAUGUUUGAUGCGGAAAUAUGUUUGGAGUCCAGGCCCAAUGGAGCCCAUUGUUUUUGAAAAGUUACAAAAUUGUUGAAGUUCCAAAAGAAUCUAGAAAAAAACACCUUAUAUAUAGUUGUAGUCUAGGUGCUUGUAAAAUAUUAUUGGGAAAUAAUGGAAUUGGAAAUAGAAAAAAAAUGCAUGCAUUGUUUGUUAAAAUUCCUAAAAUAACUCACAUGUUAAAGUACCUCCUAAUUAAUUUUAAAACACAAGUAGAAUACAUCUAUAGCAUGCAUGUGGACAUUUUUCUAGAAUUUCAUUAGAAAAAACUCAAAAAAAAUUGGGCUCCAUGGAGCCCACGCUCCAAGAACCAUUGCUCGUGUUUGAAGAACUUUUAUUUCUUUUGAUUAUUUUCUAAUUAUCUUUUAAAGCCAAGAAAACAUGUUUCUUAAUUGCAAGAGAGCGCAUGCAGGAUACGUAUAGAAGAGUUGUCUUAGUUCAUCUUGUUUCCUAUUUAUAUUUAAAAAAUCAUGACCAAAAGGUUAGAUAUUUUUCCAAACAAGGAACACAUUUUUUUUCUUAUGUUUUUAUAAUAACAAAAAAGAUACAUGCAUGCAUGUAUAACAAGGAUUUUUUUCUGUUAUUUACUCUUCUAUUUGGAAUGAAGCUUGAAGAGUUGUUACGAAGACAUGACCAAUUUUAAAUACGAAAAUAAAAUGGUGUAUACUCUUGCAAGAAAGAAACAUGUAUCUAAUGUGUUUGAAAUAGUUUGUUUUGUUAUAUAUAUAUUUGUUUUUGAAAUCAAGUCUAAGGCCUCCUUUGGUUCAUAGGAUAGGAAUAGCGUAGGGACAAGAAAUUCAUAGGAUGGGAUGACAUGUAUCUCAUUUCCUAUAAGGAAAAAAAUGUCAUUUGAUGCAUAGGAUAAUUUUUUUCAUUGAGUUUAUGCUAAAAAAAUUUCCUUUGAAAUGUGAAGGAUUGGUUCCUAUCUUACGUAGGAACAUGAAUCCAUUCUUACAAACCAAAGGGCUUUAAAAGAAUUUUUCCUAUAAAAAUUAUAUCCUUUAGAAUUUCUAUAAAAAUCGUGUAAACCAAAGGAGGCCUAAAGGGUUGUUGAUAAAUCCCAUUUUAAAAAAUCAAGGACAAAAUGUUGACUAUCUUCGUAGCAACAAAAAACGAAAACAUACAUACAUCAGAUAUGUGUAAAAUAUGUUGCUUCAUUUAUUGUCUUAUUUGCUCUUUCCUUUUGAAUCAAGCCUAAUAGGAUUGCAUGAAAGUUUGAUUGACACAAUAAAAACACAUGAAUCUUCACAAUGAGUAUGGUGUGGAUGGAAAGUUCCUAUAAAAUCUACUGCAAUUUAAUCAUAUGUAGUACAAUAUUGCAUAGGAAAAAUUACUAUUAAUUAGAAUCCCCCAAAAGUCUAGCAUAGUGAGGGAUCUUUUGUUUCACAAUAGAAAGGGGCAGCGCAGUGCAUGUAACUUCUCAUUGCGCAGGGUCCGGGGAACCUAUGGCACGUAGCCUUCUUCUUUCUUUUUACUUAUCAUAUGUGUUGGCUAUGUUUGCCAAUAAAAAAUAUUAUACAAUACUGAUGAAACAAAGUUUGUUUUGUUUUAUCUUACUUGCUCGUCUGGCUUGCAAUAAGAACAAUAGUUUAGGUGCACUGCAAGAUAAAGAAACGUAUACGGGACAUCUCUAACAAUCUUUGUUCCAUUUAGUCUUGUUUGUUCUUCUUUUUUAGAUUGAGCCAAAAGGAUAGCUACACAGUAAGAAAAAGGAGCGUACACUACACAUAUCUAACAAUAUUUGUUUGAUUUCGUAUUCUUUGCUCUUCUUUUUUUAGACAGUCUUUGCUCCUUUGGUAAGAAAAAAGAGCAUACACGACACAUCUUCUUGCUUUUACAAAACAGUUGUAUUGACCAUGCUUGCCAACUAAAAAGCAAUUUUUAUAAGAUCCCUCGAACAAAAAUUAUUUUAUUUGAUCUAUAUUGUAUUAACAAGAGCAAAUGUUUAGCUACAUUGCAAGAAAAAGAAACAUAUACGAAACAUGCCCAACAAAUUUUGUUCCAUCUAUUCUUGUCUGGUAUUCUUUUUUCAAACCGUGACGAAAAGGAUAGCUACACUGCAAGAAAAAAUGGUGUAUAUUUGAUUGCACAUUGUCUGGUCUUCUUUUUCUAUAACAAAAUCAAAAGCAUUGUUACGUGCGCACUUGUUAUUAUAUAGAUCAAGACCAAAAGUUGGUUGAAAAGAUAAGCACCCACGUCCUCUUUUAUGAAAUUGCAAAAUUUAUAUAAGAAAAACUAAGGGCUCUUGCGAAGCUUUUCCAAUCACUGAAUUCCCACCAUUCUCACGGCCCAUGAUAUGACCACGAAUUAAGCGACACACCGUUUUUUACAACAACGGCUAAUUAAUCGGCACACCAAACAUAAAUGUAAAUCAGGGGCUCCUCUGAUUCGUGAAAAUAUAGAGAAAAAUACUUAUGACACAUAAGCAUGCACUUACUUUUAUUCAUACCAGUUGUAUUGGACCUGUUUGCCAACUAAAAAUUAAUGUGUAUAAAAUACAUCAAACGAAGUUUGUUUUAUUUGGUCAUCUAUCUUGGAACGAGACCAAAGUUUAGGCACAUUGCAAGAAGAAAGAAAUGUACGUAGAACACCGGAACCAAAUUCGUUCCAUUUAUUCCCGAAAAAAGUGAUAAUUCUGUUUUGUUUGGCCUUCGAUCAUUAUUUUGUUUGAUUUCACAUUAUUUGGUCUCCCCUUUUUGUGUGUGUGGAAUUUGUCUCAUAUUUUUUUGAAGAUUAUUAUGUGUGGUCUUCUUUCAUACACAGAGACCAAAAGUUUAUUAAAAAAAACAGUAAGUCCCUAUCAAGCGAAAACAUAACAAUUUGGCGUCAUCAAUGUAACAAUGACAGUGGAAGAUGUAGAAAAGGUCAAGCAUGCCAAUCAACGUCCCAGCUUGAUCUCCAUAGCGACGGGCCAUCACCUCGUGAAGUUACAAUUAACUAAUUGAACAAUGUGGAAAUGCAUAAAAAGAGAGGUAAACAUCAAACAUUUCCAUCAAAAAUAAUGCAAUGGAAUCAUACUAAUCUGCACCCACUAGAUUAACCGCUAACCUCGGCGCUGCACGUGAGACCCUCACACGUUAAGACUUCAGGUGCUCUCAAUUAAAGAACUGUCACUACUAAAAUCACCCCUCUGCCAGGAAGACUUUAAUUUGCCUGUGUAUAAUUUUUUUAAACAUUUAUGGGGCCAAGAAACGACAGAUCUCGCGUUGCAGUGACACGAGCAGAGAAAUUGAAGAGCCUUGACCCUAGGUGGUGGCAAUGCAUUUACAGAGCACCACCCAUUAAACAAGCACAGCAGAGCUUGCAGGAUCUUAAAUCGGCUAAGUUCAUUAGGAUGAUGCCUUGGUGUGCAAUUGAAUGGAUGGCUUCAUCUUUUCAGAUGUGGCGUGAGAUGAUGCAGUGAAGUAGUGAUGGAGGCCUUUGGGAGGCAUCGAUCCUAAUAAUAUACAAGUGUAGUUUCGGCUUUCCAGGCUGAUUUGGUAGGUCACCCAUGCUUCAAGCUUCAUUGCUUCCUGUACUGCCAAGACAAAGCGAACGCCGGUACAGCCGAUUACAUUAUUUUUCUGUGGGGAUGUACAUUUUUUCCUCCGUGAAAAGGUGCAUUUGGUUACUUAGAGUGUACAAUACAAUAUAGAGCAUUGCAGGAAUACAAGACUUAGGGUUUUUCAAAUGCUUGACGACCGGACUUUUUGAUCAGGAUUUUUUCCCCGAGAGUACAAAGAAGAUGAACAUGAUCCACGCGCACCACAUUUACACCAUCACACGCAUGGUUUUCCCGAUUGAACCCGGGUGAGUAAGAAUGAAGAACCUCGAUCCCACUUCCAUAAGAAAUGGACCUCACUCCCACCACUGAUCCACGGGAUUCACGAUACUACCUCGUUGUAUUUAACUUCUACAUUUCUUAAUAUCCUUAUUAUACUAUUUAUGUACGACUCAAUUGACCGGGAGUACUUGUUUCUUAUGUGGCAUUGCAAUUUUUUGGAUACACGGUCAAAAAUGUCGGCGUAUGCUAGUGAAUCUAUUGCAUUGUUUCUGGGUCGACUUAACAUUUUUGUCCGUACACAUUUUGAAAAGGUUGUCCGCAGAGUUGUGGUACUCCUAUUUUCUUCAGUAGAAUGGAAAUAUCUUGACGAGUGGCCGAAUAUCUUAAUGCUAGAUCAAUUAAUGAUGCUUAGUGUAGACUCGCGCGACCAAGGUAUGACAGAAUUGAUCACGCGAACGAGGUACCGCAAAAUUGAUAGUGAAACCAUCUCAAUAGUUGCAAAUGCUUACGUAUCCUAUAUGAUUCAAAGCGAUUUCAUGAGAUUUGUAGAGGAUUUGGAUCCUCAUGGAUUCUUUUACUCCUAGCUCGUUUAGUCAUGUGUUUCACACAAUGGAAUCAUUGCGAUCUUUUCGUAAGAAUUCCUCUGCACUCUAUUCCAUCCAUUCGAACCUCUUGCUAUAUAUUUUUGUGUUUUUUCCUUGGUGAAAAACACUAUUUAAUCGAUAUACUUGUAGUUUUAUGUUUUGAUAGGACUGAAAACCAUUUGGAACGAGAGGAAUGCGCGAGUGUUCCGUCAGAAGAGUGCUCCGCCGACGGUUCUACUUGCCAACAUUAAGAAGGAGGCCACGCUUUGGGUAUCAGCGGGUGCAAACAAGUUGGGAUACUUGAUGACGCGAGAGUAGUUGGUCACCUUUAUUUCGGGUGUUGCGACGCUGUCAGUGUUGUAACACGAACAUAAACUCUAUUCCUCUUAUUUAAUGAAUGAGGCAAAUCUUUUCCCUCUCUUCAAAAAAAAGAAAAUAACAUGCCAUUUGAAUUAUGUUUCUUUUUCUUCUCUAUUUUAAGUGUUUUUGAGAAACAAGGCACCACAAUGAUUGGCUUUUAGCACGUUAUCAUAGGGCAAAAUGCUGAUGUGACACUCUAAUUAAAGAAGAAAGAGAUUGGAGUUGUAUGUUAGCGAAGAUAUGGCUCUUUCCUUGUUUUUCUGUGCAAUGUAGUUGAUGCUUCGAUCCUUUGUGGCUUAUCUCAUUAUCUUUUUUCCUUACUCUCCACACCUAGGCCAUAAUAUUGGGAUGCAAACAAAAUCUUUAAAGUAAUUAGAUGCAAUAUCAUUUAGAUACAACCCAUAAGAUAUUUAAUGCACUAGGAUAAUUGUCUCUGGAGUGAAUAAAAAUCAUUAUUUAGAAUAAUGCGUUAAGGGCAUCUCGAAUGCUGACUCUCAAACCUUUUGCAACCGUCCGGACUGCGCUGUCCGGACCACGGAAGCCAUCCAACGCGGUCCGAACGUGUUUUCUCCCACAAACCAAAGACAAACGUGGAGGGGGGGGUUGCGGAAGUUCUAGUUGAUCUUAAGCCCGCUUCUGACCACCCUGACCCAUCAAAAACCCUCCAUCCUCCUACGCGCUUCCUGCCCGGUGCCAGCUGCCCGCAUUCAUGCCGCUGUAGAGCGCGCCGCUCCACAUUAUAGGCGGCCCAGGAUAGACGCGACCUCUCACUGCCUCCGCCGUUGAAGUGGUGCGCCCGCUGCAUGGCCGGUUGAACACGCCUCCUCGCCGUAUUCAAACGCCUCCAUUAAAUCCAUGUGGAAGCCGAGAAACCUACUUUGGCCAUACGUCCGUUCAGGAGCGGGCCAGCAUUAAAUACAACAUCGGUCGAGCUCCUCCCGUCCACCCUCUAUUUAAACGAGGCUAGACGCCGGGCAAGAAUCACACCACUCCGCCGCUCCCCAUCCCCUCCUUCACCAUUUUAUCCACUAUUCUGAUAGCAUCCGACGAGUUAGAAGAGCAGUUCUCUGACAUAAAAGCCGGUUGAGUGGCCCGCCGAGCCCGCUGGAUAUGAGCGACGCCGCUCGCCGCUCCACCUUCCUCGCCUAACCUGACGGAGCGAGUUGCCGCCCCAAGCCGACGCGUGGUUCAGGAACUCGUCGCUCGAAGCCAGCUCGUGGAGGAGCGGCGAGUUGCUCCAUCCAGGCACGGCUGGGAGCACGACGGCAUGGGCAUCGCCUCAUCCAGUGCAUGCGACUGCGCCAUCUAUCAUCGACGCGCGCGUAGCCACACCAUGUACACAUACAAAGAAGCCAGCCGUGCAGAUGUCGACGAGGUGGCGGCCCGCACGUCCGCGCCCUCCGCCAGCAUCGAGAAGAAGUAGAACACGAAAGUCCGCCGCCGCUUGUAUCCCAUGGAGGCCACCGUUGGCGCGCCGCCUGCUUCUACAACCGGUGACAUGUCUGGUAUUUAUCUCAGACCAUCGUGGACACACCCGUCUGGGCUCCAUGGAAGCACCUUCACCUCCGGCUGAAGCACCCUCUUUGCCAUUCCGAUGAGCGGCGUAGUCGGACAUAGGGAAGAUACGGGGGAAGAGUAUGCCUCCGGGACUCCCAGCAACCCGGUUAGCGGGCCGCCGGACAUGGGGAAGACAAAGGGAUCCGUCACGGCCGACCGUAGACUAGUAUAGUGUAUCUAUGCCGUGGCAGUGGAGAUCUGCACGACUGUACGUGCACAUAGUUUUAUCUUUUAGUUAAAAUAUGUCCAAAAUGCAACUUUUUCGUUCGGUUUGUGUGAAUUCCGUCAUAUUUAUAUGAAAUCCGUCUUGUUUGCACGAAUUUCAUCUGGUUUGUUGAAAAAAAGUUUAAAAUGUAUACGGCUACGAUUGGAUGGUGUCCUCCCACAUCCAUGUCCGCAGAUUGGUACCAUCUUAUCCAUAAGACGGAUGCGGAAGAAAAUUUGUGAAUUGCCAUUGAAGAUGCCCUAAGAGACAAUGCGUUGUGAGUGCGUUCAUGCCAAUAAAAAGAUGACCAUUGAAGCCGUACCAAAUUGACAUCUAUUUACGGAAACACAACCCACACUAAUGCUGCCCACUUGAAGCAAGAAAAGAGAAUGAAGAAAGGCCACAGCUGUGAGCGAAAACGAUGGGUGCUGAUGUUGAUGUGGUGGUGAUGGUAGGCCCGACAGAAAGAUGGAACCUCGAAGUAUCCGAUUAGCACGGCGUCGAGCAGGAUCAUCAGGAGCAAAAUGCAUGCACGCUGGGCCCACACGCAGGGAGGGAGGGAGCUGGUGGUGUUGGCGUUCGUCCCAACAUCUCCAUUGGAGAGGAGGAGAUCCUCCCCUUUAUCUUUGCUUUGCCAGCUUCCUCACGGGUGGCGCCAUCAUCGCCUACCAUGGAUCACCUUUUCUUUUUUCUAUAACGACCGCUUGUGCGGUUGUGCCCGGAGCAGUAGUAUAUUUGGGAUGACGCCGCGCCGGCGAUAUUACUAAUGAGCAGUGUACGAUGUUGCCGGUGGCUCGGAGCAUGUAUUGUAUUCUUCUUCUUGGCUUUUGGAUUUGCCUAUGAAUUAGUAGAAUCUUGCCCGAGAUUGAGCUUCUUUUCUUUGCUAAUAAUAACAACUUGACAAGGUGAUAAGGGCAUCUUCAACGCCAACCCGCAAACAUCCUGCAACCGAUUAGAUCGUGCUAUCCAGACCGCAGAAGAUAUCCAACGAUGAUCUGUAUUGGUCCGCGAAGCGGUUCGGAUACGAUUUCUUCCGUACCAGGGACAAAAGCGGGCGAUGUUUGUAGGGGUCCGGACCGAUCCCAAGCUCGCUUCUAACCGCCCUGCCAACCAAAAACCCCUCCACAUCCCGCGCACGCAUCCCACCCGACGCUAGUUACCCGCAUUCAUGCCGCUGUAGAAUGCGCCGCUCCGCAUUGAAGGCGGCUCAGGGCGGACGUGACCUCUCACCGCCUUUGCCAUUGAAGCGGCACGCCGGCCGAGGGCGCCGUCCACUACACGCCCGGCUGAACACGCAUCCUCACCGCAUUUGUACGCCCCCAUUAAACCCGCGUUUAAGCCGAGAAACAUACUCCGGCUAGACGUCCGCUCAUGAGCGGGCCGACAUUAAACGCAACGCCGACCGAGCUCUUUCCGUCCGUCCUCUAUUUAAACGAGGCCAGACGCCGGGCAAGAGUCGCAUCCCUCCGCGUCUCCCUCCAUCUCCUCCUUCACCACUUUUCUGAUGGCUUCUGAAGAGCAGUUCUGUGGCAUACAAGGCGGCUGGGUGAUCCGCCGAGCCCACCGGAUACGAGCGAGGCAGCUCGCUGCUCCACCACCCGCGCCUGGCCCGACGGAGCAAGUUGCAGCCCCAAACCAGCGCGUGCUUCAGCAACUCGCCGCUCCAGGCCUACUCGAUGUUGAGUGGCGAGUUGCCCCACGACGGCACGGCGACACGGGCGUCAUCGCUACCAUCGACGACGCCGCGUCGUGCCGCGCAUGCCGUGCCUACGACCUCGUCAUGUAGGCAGAGACAGAAGCCGGGUGCACGAAGAGUGACGAGUCAGUGGCCGGCGCCUCCGCGUCCGCCGCCAUCAUCUAGGAGAAGUAGAACACGGGAGUGCGCCGCCGCUUGGGUCCCAUGAAGGCCACCACCGAGGAGACGCCGGCGUACACAACCGGUGUCUUGCCUGGUUCUUCUUUUGCGAGGACAUCCGUCGAUCGCACAUGGGCUCCACGGAAACGGAGGCGCCGCCUUCCCCUCGCGUUGAAGCAUCAGCUAGGGGUUCCACUCCGAUGAGUGGCGGGGUAGCGAGCCGUCCUUUAUGCUGAAGCAUACACCUCCAGGGCUCCCGGCGGUCCGGUGAUUGGGCUGCCAGACACGAGGAAGACAAAGGAUUAGAUAUUAUUAUACCUCGAGAGCCGAACUAGUAUCGUUGAUGUAAAUGUAUUGAAAUUCGUCAUGUUUAUAUAAAAAUCCCGUAUAUUUUUAUGAAAUCCGUCAUGUUUAUAUAAAAUCCGGCCAUGUUUACACGAAUGUCGUCGUGUUAGUUCAAGUUUUUGUGAAAAUAUACGCGGCUACGGUUGAAUGCAUCCUUCCACAUCUGUAUCCACAGAUUUGUCCCCUUUCGCGGACAGAUGCAUGAGGAUUUUUACGGGUUGCCGUCGUAGAUGCCCUGACCGAGCAUAGGUGCGUCAACACACAAACCUUACGCCGUACAUCAUGGUUAAGCAGAGUUCAGUUCAGACUUCAGACCGUUGUAGAAGAAAGAAAGAAAGGAAGGUGCUGCGUUUGCGUUUGCAUUUGCAUGCAAGUAGGCAAUGGUGGACGUGUCCUCCCCUGCUACGAUAGCUGACCGCUCACUCGGUCGCAAUCCCACUCCCUACCCGCGUGGAUCGCAUCGCAUGCGUCGGGUCAAAGGCAUGCAGGCCAAGGAGAAGACUAGACCUGUGGCGAGGCACACAUCUUAUCACACCAUGGACCAUGGUACUGUGGAGCAGUACUCGUAUAUUCGCUAAAAAUGAGAGCAUUAGUUUACUCAAUUAAUGAAGUGAUCAAAGGCAGCUUAAAUCGUACUCCCUCCGGUCCUAUUUAGUUUGCGUUUAACUUUUUCCCGUUUUUCCCGCAAUGCUCUGCGCGUGAGGCUUUUUCACCGCUUAUUUCCAACUUUGCCCCUCCACUUCUUCAGGCGCUGUGCUUCGUCGUCCUAUCACUUCACCUCCUCAUCUCAUCUCUGUAUGGAUCCACUUCUUUGGGCAUUGUGCACGCAGAGGACGGCGAGCUUGCGGACCAUGGCGUGCUCUUGGCUGGUAGCAUCCGCACGGCGGCGGCGUGCACGCAGAGGACGGCGAGCUUGCGGACCAUGGCGUGCUCGCGGCCGGUGGCAUCCUCACGGCGGCGGCGUGCACGCAGAGGACGGCCAGCUUGCGGACCACAGCGUGCUCGUGGCCGGUGGCAUCCUCACGGCGGCGGCGUGCACGCAGAGGACGGCGAGCUUGCGGACCACGGCGUGCUCGUGGCCGGUGGCAUCCUCACGGCGGCGGCGUGCACGCAGAGGACGGCGAGCUUGCGGACCACGGCGUGCUCACGGCCGGUGGCAUCCUCACGGCGGCGGCGUGCACGCAGAGAACGACAUGCUCGCGGCCGAUGGCAUCCUCACGGCGGCGGCGUGCACGCAGAGAACGGCGAGCUUGCGGACCACGGCGUGCUCGCGGCCGGUGCCAUCCUCACGGCGGCGGCGUUUGCGCAUAGGACGACGAGCUUGCGGACCAUGGCGUGCUCGCGGUAGUUGGCGUGCACACCGAGAACGGCAUGCUCGCUGCCGGUGGCGUCCUCUCGGCAGUCUGCGUGCACGCUAUGGACAGCAAGCUUGCGAAGGACCGCGUGCUCAUGGUGGGCGCCCAAGAGGAGAAAGACGGCGUCGUCUAGGUGGAAGCGAAGGACAACAGCCAACAGGCAGAGGAAGUGGACAUCGUCCUCUGAUGCUUGCGUUGGAAGGGCAUGCACUCACGGAGGACGCCGCUCGUGUAGGACGAUGAUCCAUGUUCCAUGCAUGCAUGUGGCGAACAAGAGAAGUGCGGAAGACAGAGGAGAAGCGUGCAAUUUGCUCUCUUCAUGGGACUUGAUUUAUGGAGUGGUUCUCUUAGUUUUGGCGGGAAUUACAAAUCCGUGGCGGCAAACUAAUUUUUGCAGCUAAUUUUUGAAGCUACUCCAUGGCGGCCUGCUCGGUUUAGGAGGGAACUGGAAUUUUGUUGGCUCGCAUGCAGCGCCGGAGAAAGAGAUAGAAGUCCGCAUGCAGCGCUGGGAACGAGGCGAGAGGAAGGAGAGCCAAUCAAGGUUGCAUGCACAUUUAUUAGCACCAGCUGAUCUCAUUCAUGCGCGUAGGGCCACAGGGGCAAUCUCGUCCAGAAAACAGCCAGCGAGGCAGCGACCCAUGUCUUGGUAUGCGAGUUUGCUCUUAGACGCAGAGAAAAAAGGACAGGAGGGAGUAUAGUAGUACCAGUACGGGAGGGCGCUGCCUAGUUCGGGGCGUCCUCUCCUCUGCGAACAUCGUCGAUCGCCCAGUGCCGCAGCCCCAUCCAGGUCGCAGGCAGCCUUGCCGGUACUUGCGCCACCGUGCCUGCCUGCUUGGGAACUCCCAACCCCAUCAACGGUACCACUUCUGUUGUUCCAGCUCGCCAUUUUCUGCUUGCUUACCAUACGCACUCUCUUCCUUGCUGUACGCUCGUCCCGUCCCCAGGUCGGCAUCCCCACAUCGACGCGCGCUAGCUUGCUAGAUUUCCUUCAGUUUUUUCUCUUGUUCAAGCGUGCACUUCUUCUGAACCACUACUGCUCCAGCUCGCCAUUUUCUGCUUAUCAUGCCGCCUUUCCUCGUCCUGCUCCCCAUGUCGGCAUGCGUCCCCGCGUCGGCGCGCGGUGGCUGGAUUUUCCUUCAGUUCUUCUUACUUGCGCGGAUAUAGCAAGGGCUAGUGUGUGCCGUGUGUUUGAGAUUAUAAAGGGAUUGGGCCCAUUUCCUACGUUCCAUGUGCAGCAGGAACGCUGCUGCUACGUGUUUACGAAGAUCAAUCUUACACUGAAUCUCUUCUCUCUCUUUUUUUUGAACGUAACACUGAAUCUCUUCUCAGUUUUAUAAAGAGCGUAUAUAUGCGAACACUUAAUUAUUUUGACAAUAAGAGCACAUGCGAAUUGGUACCAUCCAUGCAUCUCCUGUUUUCUUUUCUCUGGACGGGCUCCAUCCAUGCAUCUGAUCUGGACCAUGCACCAUCUCCCAUAAUCCUGCCUUGAAUUAAUAAGCAAGUGCAUGCACAACUCAUUCGUGCCACUGCUAUUGUCGCAGCAGCCCAUGACCAUGAGGCGUUCGUGAUCGCCUCCAACCUAGUAGUAACAAAAAGGAAAGGAAAACAUGUCAAGACUUUUUUACUAAUAUAUAACAAUCUACACAAGAAGAAAUCCCUCCAUUCGCACUGCUCGAGAGUGUAAGUGGUAAAUGAAACUCGAUACUAUAGUAAUUUUUAUUUGAGAACUAUUCUUCUUUUUUUGCGGCUGAACUACUUCUUUUUGUCGAUACUAUUUUUUUAGAACUACUCUAACUUAUUUUUUGAGAAACACCUAUAGUUUUAUUCAUACUCGUAACAAUUAUAGAUACACUGAUUUGGACCUGACAUCCAAGAAAAUACAAAGUAACUCCUAUGAUUAAGAAUUACAAUGAAAUCUCUUUGGGAGACCUCUUUGGGAGACGUCAACAUCCCUAGUGUCUGGGUUGCGAACCAGACGCCAGGAACCCUGGCGUCUGGCCCCUGGCCCGCACUGCCCGCCUGCCCGUUGACCUGCUGACGUGGCAAAGGGGCCAGGCGUCAAGAACCCUGGCGUCUGGUCCUGGUAGGUUAAACACCACGCGCGGGCCGAGCCCACCCAUCCCCAACCUCUCCCUGGCGGCGGCCGUAGGCAAGAACAGAGGCAGUUUUCUCUCGCCCCUCUUCUCCCUCACACCAAAUCCCCCCUUAAUCUACUCCAUCCUCCAUCCAAAUUUGUGGAUCUGAGGCCCCCAAGCAUCCUUGAGGUAUUCUUCCCCAUUCCCUCCAAUUUGUUUUGAUUAGAACAUCUCUUUUUGGUUGCAUUAUUCAUCAUUGGGAGAUGUUAGAUGAGUACUCGUUGUUUUUGUUUUUGUAUAUUUUGUGUAGUUGUUAGAUGGUAUACUUGAUUUGUAGAUAGUAGAUGAUGUGUUGUUGAAUAUGUAUGCAAUUUAAAAUUGUUUGGUUCAUAUGUAGAUUAUCCUAUUGUUGGGUUGUAUAAAUUAGAUGUUAUGUAUUUGCAUAUGUUUUGAAUAGGAGUGUUUUAAGGGAGAGAGAGAUGUUGCAUAUGAUGAAAUUGUGCAUAUGGUUAUGUCACACCAUAUUGUUUGAGAAUUUUAUUUGAUUGAAAGAUGACGUGCAUAUAUUUGAGAAGAAUGAUGUGGUCAUAUGGAAAAAAGAAUGCAUGACUUGGAGAAGGAAAUUGUAUUGUUUGAUAUUGUUCAUGUAUUCAUAGAUGUUUGUGAUUUGUUUUGUAGGAUGGCGGAUGAUGAUGGACCUUGGUAUGCCGGAUUAAUCGAUGAGUGGGAUAAGGAGCAUCGUGCUCGUGCCAUUGAGAACGGAGAGGUAAGAAGCAAGACUUAUCAAUUUUCGUUGUUUCUCAUUUGUGUUCUUAUAUUGAUUAAAACAUCACUUUAUUUGCAGCUUGUAGUUGCUAUGCGCAUGAGGGGUCAUUCCGCUGAUGACUUUACUUACGACCCGCAGUACGAACCUUACAUUCGGAGAUUGGGUCUUCUCCCAUUCGUGUUGCAGUUUAAGAGACGCGCUCCGCCGGUGAACCAUGCGGCGCUGACCGCACUUGUGGAUCGUUGGAGGCUGGAGACUCACUCGUUCCACCUUCCAUUUGGGGAGAUGACGAUGACCCUUGAGGACAUGGCUAUGAUAAGCGGCCUUCCUAUCAACGGACAAGCUGUUACCAGUCGUGUCAGCGCCGUUAAUUGGUGAGAACGGACUGGGAAUUUAAUUGGCGUUCAUCCUGACGCCCCUGAGGAAGGCAAGGCCGAUACCGCGAGAGUGAGGCAUUCUUGGCUAAAACUGGUCAGAGGAAACACCAAUCCGUGCCCUCAGGGUGCCAAUGACGUGGUUGUGCAGCAGUACGCGCGGGCCUAUCUUUGGUAUGUACUAACCAAGGUAGUCUUCUCAGAUGCAACCGGGAACUCGGCCCUCUGGAUGUUCCUGGAGCUACUCAAUAACUGGGAUACCCGGUAUAGCUGGGGUUCGGCCGCACUAGCAUAUUUGUAUCGUCAGGUAAGAGAUAUUUGCAACCAUUUAACUUGCAUUUGUCAUGCGCCUCCAUAUCUAACAUGUUUGUUUGAUUGCAGCUUGACUUGGCGUGUCGCAGGAAGGGAGAUACAUCCUCAUUGGCUGGGCUUGUUUGGAGCCUAUCCGUGUGGAUGUGGGAGCGGAUCCCGGUUGGACGGCCCGAUAUCAAGAACCCCAACAUGGCAAACCCACGGGGUAAUCAUGACGGGCUGCAUGAUGAUGAUCCAUAUCGGCGCCCUACGCUUGCUUACUAUUGGGAACAAGUGACAAUGUACACAGGAAGCUCGCAUGUGCGAUACAAGUGCUAUAUGAACGAGCUGGACACCUUGACUGCUGAGCAGGUAUAGAGAAGUUCGAUGAGACCAAAUUUAGUCAAGAAUAAAACUUGUAUCUAACAAUGUAUCUCUUUGUUUUGCAGGUACAUUGGUUGCCUUAUAUGGAAGAUCGUGACUAUGAUCUUAAUGAGAUGUGCACGCAUGAUAGCCAUCUUUGGC